GCAAACUUGGCCGAGUGGGUCUAAGGCGCCAGGUUCGUCUUACUUUAACCAAAAGUAAUUUUGAAUUGAAUACUAACAUUUCAUUAAAGACUUAAGAUAUUUCUCAUGAGUUCUGGUCACGAAAGUGGCGUGGGUUCGAACCCCACAGUUUGCA
rnacentral:tRNA from 1 species